CAAGAAUUGAAUUCUUGGGGUUCUUUGAUAUGCUGAAUCUAAACAUGUGUUUAGAUUUUUGAUUAUGGGCCCAGUUUUCAAGUUGGUCCAAAUUGGGGUCCAAAAUUAAACUUUGUUUGAUUUCAACAAAAAUUGAAUAUAUGAGGUUCUUUGAUAUGCUGAAUCUAACCAUGUAUUUAGAUUUUUUAUUUGUGGGCCCCGCUAUCAAAUUGGUUCAUAUUGAGGUCAAAAGGGUCCAAAAUUAAACUUUGUUUGAUUUCAUCAAAAAUUGAAAUAUUGGGGUUCUUUGAUAUGCCAAAUCUAACCGUGUUUUUAGAUUUUUAAUUUGGGUCCCGUUUUUUAAAUUGGUCUUCAUUGAGGUCCAAAAGGUCCAAAAUUAAACUUAGUUUGAUUUUAACAAAAAUUGAAUUCUUGGGGUUCUUUGAUAUGCUUAAUCUAAACAUGUGUUUAGAUUUUUGAUUAUGGGCCCAGUUUUCAAGUUGGUCCAA